rnacentral:lncRNA from 1 species
CAUCUCUUGGAAUUGGUUGCAUGUUUGAAAAGGCCAAGAGAUACCAAUAAUAGUUGAAGGCCACUUUGUUUAGUCGGCAGCUGGUAGCUUUCCAUGGGCAUGCAUGUGAUUGUGGAAAAUUGUGAUGAUGAUGCUGAUAGAAGGGUUAUAUUGUGACUUUUUUUUCAUGAAGAGUUAGGAUAAGAGCACAAGUCCUAACUGAAUAUUGAUGGUGGGUGUGGAUG